GAUAAGCUGCACCUGAAUCAUGCUUCAGCUGCAACCAUUUAAUUUAGGUGUGUAGCUGCACACAGCAUGUUCUAUUCUUUUGCAUGCAAUAUAUCUCUGUCCUCCUACCAGGUUUAUGUGUGGUUACUGACUGGUUACUUGUCCAUCCAAAUUAACUAAUUAACUGUUGCGUAAUCAGUCUACUAAUGCAACUGUAACCAUGUUUAUAGCUAAUGAAUGUAUCCCAAGAUCCUGUGGUCAUUUCAAAAAAACAGUUUUACCAGCAAACCUGCAAGUUACUAGAAAGGUGUUCCAGUGGUUUUAGUAGUAUAUAUAUCCAUACAAGACAUGCAUACUUUUCAAAACCAAUGCCUAAUAAGUAUAUCAGGUGUUACUGUGCAGAAGGAGAACUUACUAUCUAUCUGGGACUGAAAACAAGCUGUAGCAAGAGCCAUCACACAGCCACAUGUCUGGAAGCCAAUCAGAACAGUCUACGUUUCUCACAAAGGGAUUAAUGACACCUUACUCAUCUCUUCUAUCUAUUGUAUCUAUCCCAUUGACUAAAAUGGAAUGCACUAUACAGACUAGUGCCAAGUGGGAGGAACUACAUCAAGUUUUACAGAAAUAUUGGCUACCUCUGUAAUUGUUAUUGAUUAUCUCACUGAACAUGGAUGGCAUAACCAAGUACGGAAGAGUUCAACAUUGUCCACUGAGGUUCUAGAAGACUUCUUUUAAUAUUUACAAAUCCAACCUGACCACAGCACCCACAUGAAGUGACCCACAUUUAUGCAAAGGCCAUUGAAGAUAUGACUUUCUCAUCACUAUGGUGAUGGUUUGCACUCUGUGGCCCCGCCCCCAAGUGAUGCCGGUCCGUAGGCACCGAGGGGAGCCAAUGACGUCAUCGGUCCACGAUGGGUGAAGGAGCGUACAGCCAGCACGAGGUUUGUUUACUGAUUUGGAAUUAUCCAGCCUUUUGUGGAAACCUUAGCAGCUCAGUGUUUUACUCCAUUUAAUUGGGAACCAUUAGUCCUGGUGUAAUCUUUGUAUUCCGUUCAAUAUGGCUGCCUCACCAGUGACACUCAUGGAUGGAAUGAAAAAACUGCAUGUUAGGAUGCUACAAACUCACCAGUGUGUGUCAUUUCUUCUACGCGUGAAGUAUUCCCGCCCAGUGUAGUCCUUUAUAGUGCGCUCAAAAGUCUGCUUUGUCUGUUACUUUUUUGUGAGUGGAAAAUAUAACCCAUGGAAUGUAUUACCCAAAAUGACUGCACCAACCCUGCAUUAUGCUUAUUGUGGUCUCCCUUUUUUGUGUGUAUGGUUUUGUACUUGCUGUAAUACUAUAACCUUUGUAAUCUAUGCUAUGUUUUUUAUGUCUGCAAAGUAACUUUGAGUCCUGCUGGAGAAAAGAACUAUAUAUAAAUAAA